rnacentral:RNase_P_RNA from 1 species
UGCAAAUUUUGAGCAAUCGCGGUUAACUUCGGUUAGCUGAGGAAAGUCCACGCCCGCACGAGCUGCGAUGCUUGUAGUGAUCGUAUUCAGCCCAAUAAGCUGGAGGAUAAUAUAUUAGAUAUUAUUAUGGCGGAAAAAGCACUAAGGUCAUUUGACUAUGUGUGAAUAUCCUUGAAAGUGCCACAGUGACGUAGCAAGCUGGGAAACCAGCUUGGUGGAACGAGGUAAACCCUGCGAGCGGGCAACCCAAAUUUGGUAGGGGCGUCUUCGUCUAAGAAAUUGAACUAAAGGCGAGAUCAUGGAGACAUGAAGAUAGAUGGUUGCUGAAGGUAAUAGUUUGGCUAACUAUUGCUGGAACAGAACGUGGCUUAUAGAAGUUUGCAAAGC